UACGUAGGGUGCGAGCGUUAAUCGGAAUUACUGGGCGUAAAGCGUGCGUAGGCGGUCCGCGAAGUCUGAUGUGAAAGCCCCGGGCUCAACCUGGGAACUGCAUUGGAAACUAACGGGCUCGAGUGAGGCAGAGGGGGGUGGAAUUCCACGUGUAGCAGUGAAAUGCGUAGAGAUCGGGAGGAACACCAGCAGCGAAGGCGGCAAACUGGAUAGAUACUGACACUCAACUACGAAAGCGUGGGUAGCAAACAGG
rnacentral:rRNA from 1 species